rnacentral:rRNA from 1 species
CCCCAGCGCCACAAGUGGGGAUCAGGUUUAUUUGGUCUAAAGCGUCCGUAGCAGGUCUUGUAAAUUCUUUGUGAAUUUGUUAUGCUUAACGUAACACACUGCAGAGAAGACUGCAAGACUCGGAACUGGGAGGAGUAAGCAGUAUUCUCGGGGGAGCGGUAAAAUGUUAUAAUCCCGAGAGGACUACCUGUGCCGAAGGGGGCUUACUAAUACAGAUUCGACUGUGAGGGACGAAAGCUAGGGGAGCGAAAAGG